CAAUUAUAACAUGCAUUCUACGAUCACAUCACAAACAGUGAAUUGAAUACACCAAUCUGGAAGAAAUGCAAAAAGUAAAAUGCUGCUUCUACUGGAAAGAUUGUUUGGGUGCUGGGCCAAGAGAAAGGAUGGAGGUAAAAGGAAGAUUGGAAUCUCAAAUCGUGAUGGCAAAUUUGGAAAAACAGCUUUAUGAACUGGAGUGAUCUAUGAGAAGCUUACGAAGAGGAGCUUAAUUCAUAAAAGAACAUGGAUUGAGAAGAAGAUGAUUAUGAGAAGAGAGCAAUCUCAGGAUUCUAGUGAUGGAUUGUACCCAUUCCUCCACAUGGUUACGAGACAUUGUUGCAUCUGUCCCUUCUGUAUAUUUGCUGUCAUGUUUGAUUGUAUUCUUCCUUAUCCUGACAAACUAACUCAUAUCUUUAUAUCAAAUAGACUAGAUUACUGCAACACACUUUUUACUGGUCUUCCAAAGCAAUCUAUUGACAAACUUCAAUUCAUUCAGAAUACUGCCGCUAGACUUUUAACUAAAUCCAGGAUGAGGGAGCAUAUCACGCCCAUCCUAGCUACUCUGCUUUGGCUUCCUGUAUCUUUUAGAAUUAAUUUUAAAGUUCUCUUACUUGUUUUUAAAGCUCUUAAUAGUCUGGGACUGGAGUACAUUGCAAAAUCACUUUUGUUUAAUGAUCCUGCUCGAGCUCUCAGGUCUUCUUCUGCUAGUCUCUUAAAUUUAAACAAUCUUGCUCAAAGAGAAUUGGCAGGUCUGUUUUUUUUAACUAUGCUUCUAAACUAUGGAAUCAACAACUAUAAGGGAUGCAGUUUCAAUUGACACUUUUAAACGCUAGCUCAAAACCUAUUUAUUUAACUUUGCUUUUAACUGACAUCUUUUUGUCUUUCAUUUUCACGUUUGCAUUUUUUCUUAUUGUAAAGCACUUUGAACAAUAUUGUCUGUAUGAAAAAUG